rnacentral:lncRNA from 1 species
AGGUAUUGGGGAGAGGUGAUUAGGCAUGACAUGGAUAGAAUGCGGGUUGCCGAGGACAUGGCCCUUGAUAGGAAAGUCUGGAGGUCUAGUACAGGGUUUUAGGAUAGGGGCUCCUAGAGUUUUCCGUAAUCCUCACCCGGGGUUGGGUGAGGCUUGGCAGGGAUAUCCAUAGAUGAUUUGUGUAUUGGAUUGUGUCUACCUUAUGGUAGUUAUUUAUGGUAGUUACUGUCUGAUGUUAUCGCAUGCUAUUUUAUUUGUGGUUCUUAUGUUUAAAUUAUUAUUUACGCUAUUUCUGCCGGAGUUACUAAUGCUCUUUUGUUUUUGUUUUUGUUUUUCCUUUCCUUCACUGAGCCGGGGGCGAUUGG